AAACAUUGACUCUUCAAAGUUUCUUGCAUAGGAUUAAAUUGUCAUAAUAACUCCUUGGCUUAUCAAGAGUCAAACAACUAACGAUUUUUUUUAUUUAAGUUUGUUAAAAUAAAAAUAUUAAUAAAUAAAAUUAAGAGUUAAGUAUUUUAUUGAAAGAUCACAAGAUUAUUGAUCGAACAACUAAAAUUAACAUAGGUAGAGAUUAAAAUAAUUGCAUUAGGUUUUGCAAGGACUAUUAAUUGGACAUGGCAUGCAAAGUCUUAGGUUUAGUAUGAAAUAAGACUCAGAUUCAUGGUUGACAUUUUGUCCCAUAAUCUUUACAUCUUAAUUAUCCAACUGUGCCGGAAAAACUUGCCCGAUUAUUAUUUCUUUAUUAUAGAUAAGAUUCCCUAAAUAUAUAUAAGAUGAUUACAUGAGAAAAACGAAACCAAUAAGAAAGCUAAUGACAAUUACUACAACUUCCGCGUGACUGUAUAAACUUUUUUUCAGGUGAACAACCGAAGACAUUGAUGUUAGAAAGAUUUAACUUCUAGAUCUCUUAAAUACCUAAAACAAAGCAAACAAACCAAAAUAAAAUUUAGGGUUGUUUGGGAUUUUGAAAAUGUGGAAAGGACUGAUCUAAAAAUUAUACAAGUGUGAAAUAUGGUUGGGUUUAGGAAUUGUCGAAGAUCCUCGUGCAUGUACUCACGUAAACAGGAUAUAUGACUGAAAAGCGUGUCAAAAAGCAAUUAAGAAAAGGAGAAAAAUAUGAAAAUCCAUCGGAGAAUGGCGAAGACCCUGUGGAGUCAAAGUCAAUCUUUUAAUGGCGUUCGGUUGAUACGUAUAAUUAAUAUAAAGCUUUGGUUGUGUGAGUGGAAAAGUUGGAAACUUGGAAACAAUGGAUUCCAUCGUCUGGAACCCUUUAGGUUUCAGCCAGGAGAGUUUGGCUUUGUCUUAAACGCGUACGUUUUGCGAACUAAUACUACUAGUAGUAGCAAAACAGCCGCGUCCGUGCAGUGAUUGCGGACCCAGCUAGCUUGUUUGGCUUAGUUCCCGUCAGCGUUUGCUGCGCCUGCGCAGCGCGUGUUAGCCAUCUCGACCUGUACAAACGCGGAGUUUGCCUACACCGGACCCAGAAUAGAACUGACUCCUGUUGGGCUCGGAGUGGAUAACGCAUCAUAGGUUUUGACCUUCCGCAAAGGAAACGAAAGACACUGCUUAUUAGGCCUAGUGGUUGGUUUAGGUUUGGGCCUAUUGGUCGGUAGAAAAUCCACGACGGCUCUUUUUAAGUCUUUGUUAUACAAUUAAUGCGGCCUAGAUCAAUUGCUGCCAAUAUAAGAAAAGAAAGAUAUUUUACUUUCAAUAUAAAAC
rnacentral:lncRNA from 1 species